rnacentral:misc_RNA from 1 species
AGCAUGUCUUAGAUCCAGCCAUUUUAAAGGUUCGGUGCAGCAUUGAAUAGUACCCUGGUUUGGUUAGUGGAUUGUUUUGGGAAACCAACAGUUUGAUAAUGUUGUCAAGCUCUGCUGUUGUAGAGGAAGGUAUGGCUGCAAGAAGCUGGAGUAUAACGGCAUUACUUGUUCCUGUGUAUAUAAAAUGUGGCGAAGGGCAAUUAUUUUGAGGAUGUUUU